rnacentral:tRNA from 1 species
GCUAGCAUGGCAUAGUGGUUUGAGCAUUGGACUAUGACUCUGGAGAUCAGGGUUCGAAUCCCCCUCAGCC